AAUAUUGGACAAUGGGGUCAACCCUGAUCCAGCCAUGCCGCGUGUGUGACGAAGGUCUUCGGAUUGUAAAGCACUUUAAGAUGGGAGGUAGGGCUUUAGGUUAAUACCCUGAAUUCUUGACGUUACCAACAGUAUAAGCUACGGCUAACUCGGUGCCAGCAGCCGCGGUAAUACAGAGGGUGCAAGCGUUAAUCGGAAUUACUGGGCGUAAAGCGCGCGUAGGUUGUUCAGUAAGAUGGGUGUGAAAUCCCCGGGCUUAACCUGGGAACUGCUUUCAUAACUGCUGAGCUAGAGUACGGUAGAGGGUAGUGGAAUUUCCUGUGUAGCGGUGAAAUGCGUAGAUAUAGGAAGGAACACCAGUGGCGAAGGCGACUACCUGGACUGAUACUGACACUGAGGUGCGAAAGCGUGGGGAACAAAC
rnacentral:rRNA from 1 species